rnacentral:rRNA from 1 species
GAGUUUGAUCAUGGCUCAGAUUGAACGCUGGCGGCAGGCCUAACACAUGCAAGUCGGGCGGUAGAGAGAAGCUUGCUUCUCUUGAGAGCGGCGGACGGGUGAGUAAUGCCUAGGAAUCUGCCUGGUAGUGGGGGAUAACGCUCGGAAACGGACGCUAAUACCGCAUACGUCCUACGGGAGAAAGCAGGGGACCUUCGGGCCUUGCGCUAUCAGAUGAGCCUAGGUCGGAUUAGCUAGUUGGUGAGGUAAUGGCUCACCAAGGCGACGAUCCGUAACUGGUCUGAGAGGAUGAUCAGUCACACUGGAACUGAGACACGGUCCAGACUCCUACGGGAGGCAGCAGUGGGGAAUAUUGGACAAUGGGCGAAAGCCUGAUCCAGCCAUGCCGCGUGUGUGAAGAGGGUCUUCGGAUUGUAAAGCACUUUAAGUUGGGAGGAAGGGCAGUAAAUUAAUACUUUGCUGUUUGACGUUACCGACAGAAUAAGCACCGGCUAACUCUGUGCCAGCCG